rnacentral:tRNA from 1 species
GGUGAGGUGGCCGAGAGGCUGAAAGCGCUCCCCUGCUAAGGGAGUAUGCGGUCAAAAGCUGCAUCCGGGGUUCGAAUCCCCGCCUCACCGCCA